UUGGAUAUUGAAUUCAUCUAACCUUCUUAUUUGAAUUGAGCUAUAUAUGAUUGCUUGGAAUCCGUGUAUACUCUUGCUUUCAUUUCAUUCCAAAUCUGAACACAUUUGUGAGAGAUUGUUGCUUGCAUCGUACUGAUUCAUAAAGGCACAUGUACGUUUGUUGUUCCGCGUGUGCUUCCGAUAUAUGCUAUUUAUUAUUCAUACUGCCCUUUUGUACUCU
rnacentral:lncRNA from 1 species